rnacentral:tRNA from 1 species
GUUUUUCGUACCAAAGUAAUGUGUUUUGAGAAUCCAACUCCAGUGGUCUAGUUUUAGAUACGAAAAACA